AGCGAACGCUGGCGGCAGGCCUAACACAUGCAAGUCGAACGGAUCCUUCGGGAUUAGUGGCGGACGGGUGAGUAACACGUGGGAACGUGCCCUUUGGUUCGGAACAACUCAGGGAAACGUGAGCUAAUACCGGAUGUGCCAUUUGGGGGAAAGAUUUAUCGCCAUUGGAGCGGCCCGCGUCUGAUUAGCUAGUUGGUGAGGUAAGGGCUCACCAAGGCGACGAUCAGUAGCUGGUCUGAGAGGAUGAUCAGCCACAUUGGGACUGAGACACGGCCCAAACUCCUACGGGAGGCAGCAGUGGGGAAUCUUGCGCAAUGGGCGAAAGCCUGACGCAGCCAUGCCGCGUGAAUGAUGAAGGUCUUAGGAUUGUAAAAUUCUUUCACCGGGGACGAUAAUGACGGUACCCGGAGAAGAAGCCCCGGCUAACUUCGUGCCAGCCGCCGCCGUAAAAC
rnacentral:rRNA from 1 species